rnacentral:rRNA from 1 species
GACGAACGCUGGCGGCGUGCUUAACACAUGCAAGUCGAACGGAAAGGCCCUGCUUUUGUGGGGUGCUCGAGUGGCGAACGGGUGAGUAACACGUGAGUAACCUGCCCUUGACUUUGGGGUAACUUCAGGAAACUGGGGCUAAUACCGGAUAGGAGCUCCUGCUGCAUGGUGGGGGUUGGAAAGUUUCGGCGGUUGGGGAUGGACUCGCGGCUUAUCAGCUUGUUGGUGGGGUAGUGGCUUACCAAGGCUUUGACGGGUAGCCGGCCUGAGAGGGUGAGCGGCCACAUUGGGACUGAGAUACGGCCCAGACUCCUACGUGAGGCAGCAGUGGGGAAUAUUGCACAAUGGGCGGAAGCCUGAUGCAGCAACGCCGCGGGCGGGAUGACGGCCUUCGGGUUGUAAACCGCUUUCGCCUGUGACGAAGCGUGAGUGACGGUAAUGGGUAAAGAAGCACCGGCUAACUACGUG